GUUGGACCAUGGAAUGUUGUUUCAUGGAAUCACUCUUCUCCUGGCUUGAUUUUUUGAAGAUAAGAUUGGAGUACCAUGAGAGCAACUGUGAAGUUUUUGUGAGUACGUCGACAUUUUGAGGUGAUACAGGAAGAUAAAACACAGCGGAGCAGAAAAAUGGCAUGGCUAUCCGGAUCUCGAGGGCAGCAACUGCCCCAGCCGAUGGAGACGUCGCAGCGGCAACACGUCAUCUCACGUGGGGUGAUGAGACAAGUCAUUAGAUUCAGCGAAUUACGGUGACUACUGCAUACUAUCAGCCGAUUGGCUACGACCAACGGAAAUAAAUCACCAACAACAGCAUGCAGUAAAACAGCCAUUGACACUGGCACGCAAAAGAGGCCCUCGAGCUGUCGAAGCUGCAGGAAGUGACGUGGCGGCGAGAGCAUGCCUCGAAACUGAAGGAGUACGAGGCACACAUUGAGCAGAUGGUUGAGCAGCAGCGCGUGGUGACAUAGGAGCGGCACAAGACGCUGCAGCAGGAGACGAAGCACCAGCGUGUGCGCAUGCAGUACUAGGACCAGCUGGCAUGCAAGAGGUGUUUGUGUAGGUCAUCCAGCAGAUACAGCAGAUGCGUUGCGGAGAAUUCACACGAGGCGGCAAAGAGUCUGCAUCUGCUCUCUGUUGGUGGCAUUCGGCACUACGUGGGCCGACUGCUCGCCAGCUCUGUCAGCUGCUGCCCUCUCACGGCACUCCCACAUUGUGCAGCCGCCUGAGUGCAGAGUCCCACCGUUAAGGCGCCAUCACUCUUCCAGAUGCCCGGUCCACCAUGGCAGGAAGCAAUAGACGGACUGCUGUGAUGGCGUCUUGAAACAAAAACUGCAAGAUUCGUAACACUGCUCCACCAGCCGCACAGUUCGUCAGAGGCAUAGCUCCGCAGACUGCCAUCUGGGGCAGUGAGGGCACUGUCGGCAGUGGCGCCUAUCCGGCCAGUCGCUGCGUGGCGCCCCCUGCAGGCACUCUGCUGAUGCGGCGUCGGGCCACGGGAAAUGUGGAAAGCAGAAAGAACUUACUGUGGUGUCCUGUGAUGUGAGAGUGAAAGUGCAUAUUCCUGCGAGAGAGGGUAGUAUGUAUUGUAACAGCAGCACGGCAGGUGUGUGGGAAAGGAAUGAUUUUAGGCAGUUCUUCAAUUUUCUUUAUUUAAAUAUAAACUGGUAAGAUGACAGCAGAUGACGGAAGCACCGUGUGAUGCAAGUACUGCUACCAAUGUGAGAUUUGUGUACUGCAGACACGAGUAAAUUCAGUGAGAGAUCACAACUGAAGAUACAUUCUAGCUGUAAGGCUUAUACAGCAGUAAUUAGAGUAUUGUGCAGGUUACAUUAGUGUAACAUAGCAUCAUACACUUUGAUAGGAAAUUGUUUCCAGUAAUUAGGUAAUGUAGGGGACUGUAUUAAACAACUACUGUUAAUGUAGCUGAGUUAGACAACUAUUGAUAUUGCACCUGGCUUCAGGGUGAGUGUGUAUAGUGACCAUCACCACACUCUUGUAGCCCAGUAUUAAUUUUGAAGUAAGUUAAUAAUUUAGACGGCUGGUCACACAGCACUUGGCACAAUGAGUUAGACACUGUAGGGAGAGGUAGCAACAGUAGAACGUGUGUAAACGGUUUUCAUAAUACUCAUCUUCCCUUUCUCUUCCUUGUUGUAAGGCUUGUAGUACAUUCUGAAAUGCAACUUUUUGUAUACUGGUCUAGAAGGUACUCAGCUUCACUUUUUUUUAAAAAUAAUAAUACAAUCUUUGGAGGA